AGACAAGUAUUGCUGAUAUGUUGAAGAACGCCCCAAACAAACUCGGUGGAAACAGAUACAAGAAUCUUGUGGGACCAACAAGUCUAUCUACAGGCCGAGUACAAAACCUUCCCCUCAAACUCCAAGACAAGACAGAACUGAAAGCUCUCCUUUCGAAAAAUCUAGUCCAGACGCUGUCUCAAAUGGGCGGUGCAAGCUGUGGAGACACAGUGAGACGAAUGAUGAG